AGAAUCAACGCUGGCGGCGUGCCUAACACAUGCAAGUCGAACGAGAAAGUGGAGCAAUCCAUGAGUAAAGUGGCGCAUGGGUGAGUAACACGUGACUAACCUACCCUUGAGUGGGGAAUAACUUCGGGAAACCGAGGCUAAUACCGCAUAACACCUACGGGUCAAAGGAGCAAUUCGCUUAAGGAGGGGUCGCGGCAGAUUAGUUAGUUGGCGGGGUAAUGGCCCACCAAGACGGUGAUCUGUA
rnacentral:rRNA from 1 species